UAACUGAACCUUCGGGGAACGUUAAGGGCGUCGAGCGGCGGACGGGUGAGUAAUGCCUAGGAAGUUGCCCAGUAGAGGGGGAUAACCAUUGGAAACGAUGGCUAAUACCGCAUAACCUCUUCGGAGCAAAGCAGGGGACCUUCGGGCCUUGCGCUAUUGGAUACGCCUAGGUGGGAUUAGCUAGUUGGUGAGGUAAGGGCUCACCAAGGCGACGAUCCCUAGCUGGUCUGAGAGGAUGAUCAGCCACACUGGAACUGAGACACGGUCCAGACUCCUACGGGAGGCAGCAGUGGGGAAUAUUGCACAAUGGGCGAAAGCCUGAUGCAGCCAUGCCGCGUGUGUGAAGAAGGCCUUCGGGUUGUAAAGCACUUUCAGCAGUGAGGAAGGUGGUAAGAUUAAUACUCUUAUCAUUUGACGUUAGCUGCAGAAGAAGCACCGGCUAACUCCGUGCCAGCAGCCGCGGUAAUACGGAGGGUGCGAGCGUUAAUCGGAAUUACUGGGCGUAAAGCGCAUGCAGGUGGUGAAUUAAGUCAGAUGUGAAAGCCCGGGGCUCAACCUCG
rnacentral:rRNA from 2 species